rnacentral:misc_RNA from 1 species
UACGGAGGGGGCUAGCGUUGUUCGGAAUUACUGGGCGUAAAGCGCGCGUAGGCGGCUUGGCAAGUUAGAUGUGAAAGCCCGGGGCUCAACUCCGGAAUUGCGUCUAAAACUGCUGGGCUAGAGGCCGAGAGAGGUGAGUGGAAUUCCCAGUGUAGAGGUGAAAUUCGUAGAUAUUGGGAAGAACACCAGUGGCGAAGGCGGCUCACUGGCUCGGUUCUGACGCUGAGGUGCGAAAGCGUGGGGAGCAAACAGG